CACCUUUAAACUUAGGGAUGAACGGCUUCAAUGCGGAGGGCAUUUCUUGGUAAAACUUUAAUUCCUUUGAAAAUAACGGCUUACAUACAGUAUACUUGUCAAACUGUUGAAAGGUGGAAUGGCCACCAACUUGGUGUACGAAAGGCCGAAGUGAAACUGUAUGAACUUCGCUUUUCGUAUCUUCCAUUACUUCACACUAUUAGCCUUAGUAUGUAAAGAAGCAGAUUUUAUCGCUUCAUCUUCUCUGUUAAUAUAAACCAUGGACUAAAUGCUGCAAAACAGGUUUAAUUUUUUUAUCCCAAACGUUAAUUUACAAAAUUUCAACGUCUUGUUUAUAUCACCUGACUCUUCACCAGCUUUCCAUGCAAAGAGUCGCGAAUGGGAACGAAUGAGCGUAUCAUAUUCUUGGCAGGGGAGAAUGUGACUCUCACAAUUUACAUAGCUGUUUGUUUGAAACAGUGGUUGUAAGUAUGUAAAGCAGUCUUUUUGCACCUUUAAACUUCAACUUAUUUGAAAAAUAAUAAAAAAUAUUACAUUUCGACGAACUUCAAAAAUAUUCUUAUUUCUUACGCCAGCCCAACUUGUCCUAUUUCAAAAACAUUUUUAUCAGCUCUCCCCCCGGAUUUUAUUACGUACCAUUUAGAAAAAUUGGAUUGUGGGUCAGCAAGAUGGCGUAAUGAUGUUCAUUAUCUUGUAUAUUAAAACUGUGAACAGAUCUGCGUUUUCCUGGUAGUUUCACUGCAAUCUGAGUCGAUUUUCGCACUUUGUAACGGUGAAAGAAAAUGCCAAAAGUUCAUUAUCUAAACACCAUUAGAACUUUUGAUAAAGAUGGAUUCAAAAAAAGAGCUGGGUGUCUGUGCUUUAAGUCGGAAGCAGAAAACGAGGU